rnacentral:rRNA from 60 species
GCGGCGGACGGGUGAGUAACACGUGGGUAACCUGCCUGUAAGACCGGGAUAACUCCGGGAAACCGGUGCUAAUACCGGAUAGAUUAUCUUUCCGCCUGGAGAGAUAAGGAAAGAUGGCUAUUGCCAUCACUUACAGAUGGGCCCGCGGCGCAUUAGCUAGUUGGUGAGGUAACGGCUCACCAAGGCGACGAUGCGUAGCCGACCUGAGAGGGUGAUCGGCCACACUGGGACUGAGACACGGCCCAGACUCCUACGGGAGGCAGCAGUAGGGAAUCUUCCGCAAUGGACGAAAGUCUGACGGAGCAACGCCGCGUGAGCGAAGAAGGUCUUCGGAUCGUAAAGCUCUGUUGUUAGGGAAGAACAAGUAUCGGAGGAAAUGCCGGUACCUUGACGGUACCUGACGAGAAAGCCACGGCUAACUACGUGCCAGCAGCCGCGGUAAUAC